AAUGAACGCUGGCGGCGUGCUUAACACAUGCAAGUCGAACGAGAGGACAGGAGCUUGCUCCUGGGCUCUAGUGGCAGACGGGUGAGUAACGCGUGGGCAAUCUACCUCCGAGCGGGGGAUACCUAGCCGAAAGGAUAGUUAAUACCGCAUAAUAUUCCAGCCACUUCGGUGAUUGGAUUCAAAGUUAGGGCUUGGUGAAAGCUGACCUGACACUUGGAGAGGAGCUCGCGUAAGAUUAGCUAGUUGGUGAGGUAAUGGCUUACCAAGGCAUCGAUCUUUAGCCGGCCUGAGAGGGUGAUCGGCCACACUGGAACUGAGACACGGUCCAG
rnacentral:rRNA from 1 species